AUCCAAAUGGAGGCUCGGCUGGCAUUUGCUUGUCCUGUUUCUCGGCCGCCUACUUGUAAUCCGCUGCCAGCCAAAUCGCUCGCUCACUCCCACCCUCGUCAGCCUCCGGCAGAUCCUCCUCCUCCUCCAUACCGCUCGAAGCUCCGUCCUCCUCCUCCCGACACCUCGAGAUCUCCGCCCCGGACCCGUUUCUCCGCCGCCAAGGCCCAGCGCCGCCGCCGCCCGGCCCUCCCUGUCGCAGGCGACGCCGCCGCCGCCAUGUCCAAGUCUGGAGCCCUGGAUCUCGCGUCGGGCCUUGGCGGGAAGAUCGACAAGGAACAAGUCAAAUCGGCGGUCGACGAGUAUGAGAAAUAUCAUGGAUACUACGGAGGGAAGGAGGAAUCGAGGAAAUCCAACUACACCGAUAUGGUUAAUAAAUAUUAUGAUCUUGCUACUAGCUUCUAUGAGUAUGGCUGGGGUGAAUCCUUCCACUUUGCUCACAGGUGGAAUGGGGAAUCUUUAAGGGAAAGCAUCAAAAGGCACGAGCACUUUCUGGCUUUACAGCUUGAGUUGAAACCAGGGAUGAAGGUUUUGGAUGUCGGCUGUGGAAUAGGCGGGCCAUUAAGAGAAAUUGCGAGAUUUAGCUCCACCUCAGUUACUGGAUUGAACAACAACGACUACCAGAUAACUAGGGGAAAGGCGCUUAAUCGGUCGGUAGGACUUGGCGCUACUUGUGAUUUUGUCAAGGCAGACUUCAUGAAGAUGCCAUUCUCUGAUAACACUUUCGAUGCUGUUUAUGCCAUUGAGGCAACAUGCCACGCACCUGAUCCGGUUGGCUGCUACAAGGAGAUCUACCGUGUAUUAAAACCCGGGCAGUGUUUUGCUGUAUAUGAGUGGUGCAUUACCGAUCACUAUGAUCCAAACAAUGCAACCCACAAGAGGAUUAAGGAUGAAAUUGAGCUUGGGAAUGGCCUGCCAGAUAUCAGAAGUACUCGGCAAUGUCUUCAAGCUGUUAAAGAUGCUGGGUUUGAGGUUAUUUGGGACAAGGAUCUUGCUGAAGAUUCUCCAUUGCCUUGGUACUUGCCCUUGGACCCAAGUCGGUUUUCUUUGAGUAGUUUCCGGUUGACUACCGUGGGACGAAUAAUUACUCGCAAUAUGGUCAAGGUAUUGGAAUAUGUUGGUCUGGCUGAGAUUCUCUUAUGAUAUUGUUGUUCAGGUCAAGGUAUUGGAAUAUGUUGGUCUGGCUCCGGAAGGCAGCCAGAGGGUCUCUAGUUUCUUAGAGAAGGCCGCGGAAGGUCUUGUCGAAGGUGGCAAGAAGGAAAUCUUCACCCCGAUGUACUUCUUUGUGGUUCGGAAGCCUCUUUCAGAAUGAGCAACUUUCAGGCAAUGCAAAGAUGCAUUUUGAAGAAGCGGGCUUGACCGGGGAGUUUGGCUAUGCGAUCCUCGGUUCUUAUCUGUAGAAGAAGACAUAGUGAAAUGUGUUGCGUUUCUGUUUGUUUUGUAUUUAAUGUUGAGCUUCUGUUUUGUUGUUUUGUCGUGUGAACUUUUGAUGCUCGUCGAUUAACUGACUGUUUGACACCAUUGUGCUAAGCUAUUAGUGGCAUAAAUAAGCUAGAUGCAGUUUUCUUCCCCGUCAAGGUUUGCAUAAGGCUGUUCCGAUUUCUUGUCCGAACAAGUGUGUGUACUGUGUAGGAUCCGGUGGUGCUGAAGUUUUGUAACCUAGCAACGAGAAUUUCGCAUGAAUGAUUGUUCCCGGUACUGGAAUUUUCAAGUAUGUUUGCCUUGAAAAUAAUAAUUUGAGGGGUAUGUUUGCCUUAA